GGAAGGGUCCACUCUGGAGGAGUGGUCGUAGAUUUCUCAGAAGCUUAUACUCGACGCCUCCCAGCUGUCAGACUUUUAUACGACUCACCCGGGGGAGCCUGGGAGGAUGCCGGGAGGUCUUAGUUGAGAGAAUGUAUUGUCAUGAGCCAUUGUGCAGUUCUGCUGUUGGAGCCUGGGUGGCGCUUUGCACCCUCUUGCUCUCACUUCCCCCAGUUCUCACUCUUUCAGUACCAUCCUCAAAAUGCACCUGUUACCAAUCGAACCUCGUCACCCCCUCCAUUUAAGUCUCCCUGUUCGAGAGAACUUUGCCAGUCUUACAGCUUUUUCCAGUGCUACACGGCUCACCAGUCUUCAUGUGAACUGCACAAUUCCUCAUUGCUUUUUUUUAACCUCCUUGUCUCUCAUUGUCAUCAGUUUUUCCCUCUGUGUUCGUUGCCUUUUCAAUUACGACUGUUAUGCUGCCAAGCCUGCGCCUCCCCUUGUCACCGCCUACCACGCAUUUCCAGCCUCCACCACCCGCCAGCGCACCUCAAGAAUGACCCACACUUCUCUUUUUCAAAAAACUGUUCAUUACAACCUUUCAGCCUCUGCCUGUUCUUGGGUUUUUGGAAGAUAUUCUGUUCAUGACAGAAUAUCUUCAAAAAACAGUAUUCAUCACGUUGGACAUUGAAUAGCUUGCCUUUGUAGCGUAAUCAAUUAAAAAAAAGUCCGGGAUUUACCCUGCCUCCUGCCCGUUGACAGCUCAGAUAGGAUCCCGCACUCCCCACACCCCUUGUGAGGAUAAGCUUCUUAGAAAAUGGAUGGAGGGAUGGAUGGAAAUACUACAGGUUCUGUGAUUGGCUGGUGACCAUACCAGGAUGUGGUCUCCUGUUUGCCUGAAAUUAGCUGAGAUGGGCUCUAGUUUCCCACAACUCCGAACAGAUAGACAAGUCACUGAUGGUGUCGUGGUACACACGUCUGACUUUUGUCCAGGCAGCGUGGGCUCGGUUCCCGUUAAGUGAUGUUGUUGAUAUCUGCUCUGCAACUGACUGCCGA